GCCGGGCGUGGUGGCUCACGCCUGUAAUCCAAACCCUUUGGAGGCCAAGGCAGGAGGAUCACCUGAGGUUGGGAGUUCAAGACCAGCCUGACCAACAGGGUGAAACCCUGCCUUCA
ensembl:misc_RNA Metazoa_SRP Metazoan signal recognition particle RNA